GACGAACGCUGGCGGCGUGCCUAAUACAUGCAAGUCGAACGCAGUAGGGACGGGUGAGUAACACGUGGGUAACCUCCCAUCAGAGGGGAUAACACUUGGAAACAGGUGCUACACUGAUACUGAUGGAUGGACCCGCGGUGCAUUAGCUAUUUGGUGAGGUAACGGCUCACCCAGGCCACGCGGCAUAGCCGACCUGAGGGGGUGAUCGGGCACACGGGAAAUGAGGCACGGCCCAGACUCCUACGGGAGGCAGCAGGAGGGAAUCGUCGGCAAUGGACGAAAGUCGGACCGAGCAACGCCGCGUGAGUGAAGAAGGUUUUCGGAUCGUAAAACUCUGUUGUUAGAGAAGCGGUAUCUAACCAGAAAGCCACGGCUAACUACGUGCCAGCCGCCGCGGUAAUUC
rnacentral:rRNA from 1 species